GCCUAAAGCGUCCGUAGCCGGCUCUGUUAGUUUUCGGUUAAAUCCAUAUGCUCAACAUAUGGGCCGCCGGGAAUACUACAAAGCUAGGGAGUGGGAGAGGUAGACGGUACUCCGUAGGAAGGGGUAAAAUCCUUUGAUCUAUGGAUGACCACCAGUGGCGAAGGCGGUCUACCAGAACACGUUCGACGGUGAGGGAUGAAAGCUGGGGGAGCAAACCGGAUUAGAUACCCGGGUAGUCCCAGCUGUAAACUAUGCAAACUCAGUGAUGCAUUGGCUUGUGGCCAGUGCAGUGCCGCAGAGAAGUCGUUAAGUUUGCCGCCUGGGAAGUACGUACGCAAGUAUGAAACUUAAAGGAAUUGGCGGGGGAGCACCACAAGGGGUGAAGCCUGCGGUUCAAUUGGAGUCAACGCCAGAAAUCUUACCCGGAGAGACAGCAGAAUGAAGGUCAAGUUGAAGCCUUUACCAGACAAGCUGAGAAGUGGUGCAUGGCCGUCGCCAGCUCGUGCCGUGAGGUGUCCUGUUAAGUCAGGUAACGAGCGAGAUCCUUGCCUCUAGUUGCUACCAUUACUCUCAGGAGUAGUGGGGCGAAUUAGCGGGACUGCCGUAGUUAAUACGGAGGAAGGAGAGGGCCACGGCAGGUCAGUAUGCCCC
rnacentral:rRNA from 1 species